rnacentral:rRNA from 1 species
UGUAAGCGUAUACCAAAGUUGUUGCAGUUAAAACGCUCGUAGUCGGAAUUUGGCAGUUCCGGAUGUGUGCACGUCGUGUGCGCACUUCGCGGGGAUUGCUUUUGUGGUCUUGCGUAGGAUGAGGCACUUUUAUUAGUGAACGUCCUCACGCAACCACUUUUUACUGUGAGAAAAUCAGAGUGCUCAAAGCAGGCAUUUGCCGUGAAUGUAUUAGCAUGGAAUAAUAGAAUAGGACUUGGUUCUAUUUUGUUGGUUUGUUGGGACUGAGUAAUGUUUAAGAGGGACAGUUGGGGGCAUUUGUAUUUCGGUGCUAGAGGUGAAAUUCUUAGAUUACCGAAAGACAAACUGCUGCGAAAGCGUCUGCCAAGGAUGUUUUCAUUGA